rnacentral:rRNA from 1 species
CCAGAAGAGGGUGCUGACCCUGCGAGCCGAGCGGUAGGAGUUUCUUCGGAAACCUGAGAGCGGCGCACGGGUGCGGAACACGUGUGCAACCUGCCUUUAUCAGGGGGAUAGCCUUUCGAAAGGAAGAUUAAUACCCCAUAAUAUAUCAGAUGGCAUCAUUUGAUAUUGAAAACUCCGGUGGAUAAAGAUGGGCACGCGCAAGAUUAGAUAGUUGGUGAGGUAACGGCUCACCAAGUCAAUGAUCUUUAGGGGGCCUGAGAGGGUGAUCCCCCACACUGGUACUGAGACACGGACCAGACUCCUACGGGAGGCAGCAGUGAGGAAUAUUGGACAAUGGGUGAGAGCCUGAUCCAGCCAUCCCGCGUGAAGGACGACGGCCCUAUGGGUUGUAAACUUCUUUUGUAUAGGGAUAAACCUUUCCACGUGUGGAAAGCUGAAGGUACUAUACGAAUAAGCACCGGCUAACUCCGUGCCAGCAGCCGCGGUAAUACGGAGGGUGCAAGCGUUAUCCGGAUUUAUUGGGUUUAAAGGGUCCGUAGGCGGACCUGUAAGUCAGUGGUGAAAUCUCAUAGCUUAACUAUGAAACUGCCAUUGAUACUGCAGGUCUUGAGUAAGGUAGAAGUGGCUGGAAUAAGUAGUGUAGCGGUGAAAUGCAUAGAUAUUACUUAGAACACCAAUUGCGAAGGCAGGUCACUAUGUCUUAACUGACGCUGAUGGACGAAAGCGUGGGGAGCGAACAGGAUUAGAUACCCUGGUAGUCCACGCCGUAAACGAUGCUAACUCGUUUUUGGGUCUUUAAGAUUCAGAGACUAAGCGAAAGUGAUAAGUUAGCCACCUGGGGAGUACGUUCGCAAGAAUGAAACUCAAAGGAAUUGACGGGGGCCCGCACAAGCGGUGGAUUAUGUGGUUUAAUUCGAUGAUACGCGAGGAACCUUACCAAGGCUUAAAUGGGAAUUGACAGACGCAGAAAUGUGUUUUUUCUUCGGACAAUUUUCAAGGU